rnacentral:rRNA from 1 species
AAACACUCCUUCCCAUUCCGAACAGGAAAGUUAAGCUCUAUAGCGCCAAUGGUACUGCACGGGAGACUGUGUGGGAGAGUAGGACGUUGCCAGGU